UACGAAGGGGGCUAGCGUUGCUCGGAAUCACUGGGCGUAAAGCGCACGUAGGCGGCUUCUUAAGUCAGGGGUGAAAUCCUGGAGCUCAACUCCAGAACUGCCUUUGAUACUGGAGAGCUUGAGUCCGGAAGAGGUGAGUGGAACUCCGAGUGUAGAGGUGAAAUUCGUAGAUAUCGAGAGGAACACCGGUGGCGAAGGCGGCCUCUGGACAGCAACUGGACGCUGAGACGCGAAAGCGUGGGGAGCAAACAGG
rnacentral:rRNA from 1 species